rnacentral:tRNA from 1 species
GGAGAGGUACCCAAGUGGCUGAAGGGGCGGGUUUGCUAAACCUGUNNGAAUCCCUCCCUCUCCGCCA